rnacentral:rRNA from 1 species
AGUGGCGGACGGGUGAGUAAGGCAUGGGGAGCUGCCCAAUCGAGGGGGAUAACAACUGGAAACGGUUGCUAAUACCGCAUACGCCCUGCGGGGGAAAGGUGGGGACCAUUUGGCCUACCGCGAUUGGAUGCACCCAUGUGGGAUUAGCUAGUUGGUGAGGUAACGGCUCACCAAGGCGACGAUCUCUAGCUGGUCUGAGAGGAUGACCAGCCACACUGGAACUGAGACACGGUCCAGACUCCUACGGGAGGCAGCAGUGGGGAAUAUUGCACAAUGGGGGAAACCCUGAUGCAGCCAUGCCGCGUGUGUGAAGAAGGCCUUCGGGUUGUAAAGCACUUUCAGUAGGGAGGAAGGGAUGAUGCUUAAUACGUAUCAUCAUUGACGUUACCUACAGAAGAAGCACCGGCUAACUCCGUGCCAGCAGCCGCGGUAAUACGGAGGGUGCAAGCGUUAAUCGGAAUAACUGGGCGUAAAGCGCACGCAGGCGGUUAGAUAAGUCAGAUGUGAAAUCCCCGGGCUCAACCUGGGAACUGCAUUUGAAACUGUCUGACUAGAGUCUUGUAGAGGGGGGUAGAAUUCCAGGUGUAGCGGUGAAAUGCGUAGAGAUCUGGAGGAAUACCGGUGGCGAAGGCGGCCCCCUGGACAAAGACUGACGCUCAGGUGCGAAAGCGUGGGGAGCAAACGGGAUUAGAUACCCUGGUAGUCCACGCUGUAAACGAUGUCGAUUUGGAGUUUG